rnacentral:ncRNA from 1 species
UCCGUCGUGAGAUGGAAUCUGAGGGAAGCCUGAUGAGCAAAAUACUGCACCGAUGAACAAGAAGCAGCUAUAAGGCCGAAAAUGACUAGAUGAAGUUGCCUAACAAACCAAAGUCCGAUACUACUUGAAGUCAUAACGGUAAAGCUGACGGUGACAUAGUAUGAAAGUUGGCAGUC